rnacentral:tRNA from 1 species
GGGCCGGUAGCUCAGUUGGUAGAGCAUCUGACUUUUAAUCAGCAGGUCCUCGGUUCGAUUCCGAGCCGGCUCACCA